AUGAUGCAGAAGAUGUCCAUCCAACCGCACAUUGAUCUCUGCAGCGUGGUCGGUGGGAGGAGAUGUGGCCGAGCUGUUGAACCAGGCUCUAUCGGUGUCAGGACGCGUUGGUGGAGGAGGGGGACUGAUGGAGGAGAGCCGACGGAGCCAUGGUGGACGAGAGCCGACGGAGCCAUGGUGGACGAGAGCCAAGGGAGCCAUGGUGGACGAGAGCCGACGGAGCCAUGGUGGACGAGAGCCGACGGAGCCAUGGUGGACGAGAGCCGACGGAGCCAUGGUGGACGAGAGCUGACGGAGCCGACGGCGCCGUGGUGGGCGAGAGCCGACGGCGCCGUGGUGGACGAGAGCCGACGGAGGAGCCGUGGUGGACGAGAGCCGACGGAGGAGCCGUGGUGGACGAGAGCCGACGGAGGAGCCGUGGUGGACGAGAGCCGACGGAGGAGCCGUGGUGGACGAGAGCCGGCGGAGGAGCCGUGGUGGACGAGAGCCGACGGAGGAGCCGUGGUGGACGAGAGCCGACGGAGGAGCCGUGGUGGACGAGAGCCGACGGAGGAGCCGUGGUGGACGAGAGCCGACGGAGGAGCCGUGGUGGAGGCCCUGCCUUAAGAAUGAUGUCGGGGUGAAUGCAGCCAGUCUCUAAAUUGAUUAUCACUCACUGCUACUGAACGGUUUCUGUUCUAAAAUCGGUUACUUCAGCCGUCAUCUAAUAUGCCAGAUUUAGAGAAAACCGUCCUUGGCUUAAUGGAGCCAUCGGUGAAGUUUUAUUGAGACUCUAACCCCUCAAUGUGAAGGCUAGAGUAGUCUACGCUACUGGUACAAGAAUUCUACAAGUUUUAUCGUUUGUUUUAAAUAUUGAGUUUCAGCUGAGGCAGAAGACUGUUUGAAUAAUGUUAACAGUCAAAUUUCAAAUGUGUGCUGUUGAAUUCACAGAAUGUUCUACCAUUCUCCUGCAUAACACAUUUUCAAGUGUGUGCAUGGUUCUUAUUUAUUUUUUUAACUUGCAGUGUCUUCUAUUCCUCUACAUUUUACACCAAAAGCCAGUACUUUGGUUCAGAAUGGUUUAAAAGAGGCGUCCGAAGAAUAAUCCCACCCACUGCCAACUACCAGCCCUGUUUGUUACAGACCCAAUGCCCUUGGCUGAUGGAGGAACUGCAUCUGGAGGGCGACCAUGAAUCUACCUGCCAACAGGUGGUACUGGUUUGCACUGGUUUGCAUGAACUGAACAUGGUGGACAUGAGGCAAAUUCCCUGCUUUUUGCUCCAGACCAGGACUGGGUGAUGGAGGGGGGCUGAUAGAGCCGUGCUGAGGACCUGCUGGUGAAGGACGUCCCUCGGUGGGGGGGCUAGGACAGCCGACCCUGAGGUGAUUAUACCUUACACUGCCACCUCAAUGUGAAGGAGUAGGCUGCUAGACUAGCCACUCCACCAGCCCUACAUCGGUCUCUUCAACCAUCGUUUUGAUCAGAAUGAUUUAGAGAAAAAAGUCCCUGGGUUAAUGGAGCUGUGAGUGAACAGGAUUUAUUCACUCACAAUUUUGCUCUCCAUGGCCCUCAUUUAUCAAACGAGCGUACGACAGAAAACGUGCGUAAAAUGGACGUACGCUCAUUUCAACGUUGAGCUUGGCAUUUAUCAAUUUGAACGUGAGCGCAGGCU
rnacentral:lncRNA from 1 species